CGGGCUGUAGCGCAGUCUGGUAGCGCGCUUCGUUCGGGACGAAGAGGUCGUGGGUUCGAAUCCCGCCAGCCCGA
rnacentral:tRNA from 1 species